GCUGCAACCACGCCAAAUAUGGUGGGCAACAAUUUAGAAGAAAAUUCAAAGCUUAGGACACUUUCAUCACGUUGCUGCCUAUAAUUGUGUUUGUAUGUAUAGACAAUUUCGUUGUAGCUGGAAUUCAACACAUCUGGGCGAUAUUAAAUCACACACAAAACGUGGUUAAUUUGAUUGGAGGCGAUUAGCGAAUUUGCUAUCGCUGAAUUCACAGGAAAUUGUUACAAGUUCUUGGAAUUAGAACAAGCUCUGAAACAAAGAUUCUUGCAUUUGGAGUUCCGGUACCGGCGUGUUGGCGGUCUGAGGUUGUCACCUCACCUGUCUUAGCCUGUGUCUGGCCUGUGUAUGUAACAGGAUAAUGAAUGUACCUCAGGGUACCUCAUGGGAUAUAGAUUUGUUUCCCGAAAUUCGGACCCAUCUGGAAACAAAACUGAGAGAAAGCGAAGCCUCAGUCCACAAGAUGUUCAUCCUUAUCAAGACUCCGACUUCGAAGCGAGCGAUUUCCGAGGUGAAGAUAAGGACAAAAAAUCCAAAGUCGCAUUUGGAUUUCGACUUCGACGAUGAUGCCCUGAGCAAAGAAUACGAAAAAUUAAACCGUCUGUCCGAGAUGCUAACGAAGAGUAAAUAUCAGUUAAAAUCGAAUGAUAAAGCAACAAAUGAGCGCUUGGAUUGACUGGAAAACGAUGUGAAGAAAAUCUCCAAGGCAAUUGAUAAUUUGAAAGAUGCAGUAAAAAAGUUAACUGCUGUAAAAACCACUUUAGUUUUACAGGAUGACAAAUUGCCUAAGAAGUCAUUAAUAAGUCCAACUACAGCUAAAAAGGAGACUGAAAACGCAGCAAUGUGGCAGAAUGAGGUUAAUUUAAUGAAUAUGAAAGCUCAACCAAAAGAGCCAGCAAAUGUGCAAUUAAUUUGCUUAACCACUUGUGUAGUCAAAGCGAACUCCAGGACAGGAUUUUGUUUAAAUCGAAAAAAUCAACGAAAACACCCCUAGAUGCCGAGGGGUCACUAAACUGUUUGGUAAGUUGCGUUAUGUAUGUUGAUGCUAGAGUGUUUUGGCACAUGAAUUUCACAUUUUUGAAUCUUUGUUAGCAGUAUAAUUUUAUACGCUUUUCGAAAACUGAAUUGCAAUUGCGUCUUUACUUUAGCAGUUAUUGCCACUUAAAACACAAAAAAAGCCGCGCAAAAGGGAUUGGUACAAAAUCAUUGAUGUGACGUCACAAUAGCAACUGGUUUGACUCAUUCAUAUUACAAAAAGAAGAAAGAUGGCGGCGCAAAAAAUGCACGCAAAUAUAAAUAUGCCCAAUAGAUGGAUUGUUGGGGGUUGCUCUAAUACCUCUAAUCCGGAAAAGGAAUUUUUCUUCAUUUUAUACCGUUUCCUGGUGACGAAAGGCCAGAACCAAAAAAAAAGACGAAAGCAGAGGAUUGAUUUCGUGCUGUUGAAGAGGGAAAAUUGUAUCUGACUCCAAAUUUUACAAGAAAGAUUUCACACAAAUGUUUUCUGGUUUCUCUGGUGAGGUAUAGCGGUUAGCCACCGAUGAAAAUGGCGUUGUGCAUGGCAGCCCCUAAGUGUCACGAAGUAACAACGGAAGUCAAACCUUCGUCUGCAAGAGCUAGGAGAAUGAUAAGUUCACAAACAACGUUUCGACUGGGACAGACGGUUGUGUUGGUUGUGUCGGUUGUGCGUAUUUACUAAAAGAAAAACGGAAGACUGGGAACAAGUAUAUAGCGCUUAAAAGCAAAUACGAUGAAUUGGUGUUAAAGUUAAACAUUCCAAAGAUCUCUAUGCAAUAUUCCUUCUCCGUGAAGAAAUGCAAGUCCAGCAAAGAUAUCUUUGAUCAUUUUUCGCCCAUGCCUUUGCAAAUGAUCAGUGGAAAGAGAACAAACGUACUUAUCCAGUGUCUUUUCACAGAGAUCAAGAAUGAGCUACUUCACUGCCGUCUUGCAAAAUCCCGACAUAGACAAACGUCCCUGAAGAGCCACAUCCAAGAGUGAAGGAUUUUUGCGCAGA